rnacentral:rRNA from 1 species
UAACGCGUGGGAAUCUACCCUUUUCUACGGAAUAACGCAGGGAAACUUGUGCUAAUACCGUAUGAGCCCUUCGGGGGAAAGAUUUAUCGGGAAAGGAUGAGCCCGCGUUGGAUUAGCUAGUUGGUGGGGUAAAGGCCUACCAAGGCGACGAUCCAUAGCUGGUCUGAGAGGAUGAUCAGCCACAUUGGGACUGAGACACGGCCCAAACUCCUACGGGAGGCAGCAGUGGGGAAUAUUGGACAAUGGGCGCAAGCCUGAUCCAGCCAUGCCGCGUGAGUGAUGAAGGCCCUAGGGUUGUAAAGCUCUUUCACCGGUGAAGAUAAUGACGGUAACCGGAGAAGAAGCCCCGGCUAACUUCGUGCCAGCAGCCGCGGUAAUACGAAGGGGGCUAGCGUUGUUCGGAAUUACUGGGCGUAAAGCGCACGUAGGCGGACAUUUAAGUCAGGGGUGAAAUCCCGGGGCUCAACCCCGGAACUGCCUUUGAUACUGGGUGUCUAGAGUCCGGAAGAGGUGAGUGGAAUUCCGAGUGUAGAGGU